rnacentral:lncRNA from 1 species
AUCACAUUCAUCACAGUUUCCAUGUAUGCAAUGUGUUUUAUCUUGGUUACAUUCAUUAUCGUUUAUUCUAGCAGGUGAGAGUUCUCCAGAGAUGCAAGGCAGGAAAGGCAACUGCAGAUUUAUGACCCUUGACUGUCAGAGUCCUAUUUACUUAAAGCUCUUGAAGACGAUGACAUCACUGAACUAAUCCGAAGGACUAAAUUGGGAGAUCAAAGGUGGAUUUGCCCCAUUUGUACAAACCAUUCACUCUUGCAAGAACUUUAGAAGAAACCUAACAAGUCCCAGAGGCAAAACACAGAGUUUGGACCCCCAGGGUCACAAAGAAGUUGAAGAGCACUUCAAACCUAUGUGAAAAUGGCUGAAGUCAGCAGCAGAGUAUUUCACCUGGGAGAAUGACUGUGGCCUAGUGGUCUGGGGCAAAUUCUCGGCAGUGCUACACAAGGAUGUGGCUUAGUCUCCUCACAUGCAGUGUUCCGUGCACAGAAAUCUUAUGUUUGUUCCGAGAAAAGUAUGCUGAGGGACUUCCAAGCCAAACUCUGGAAUCUGGGUUUCCACUCUUUGCUGGCUGUAUGUUCUUGGUAUUGGAGUGUCUUACACCUUUCUUCCUUGUGGGUUUCAGAGUUCUGUAUGUGGGAGGAAGUUAAGAAAUGUAUUCACAGGAAGUGAACAGUUAGAAGUUUAGCUUUCUGAGAUACUGGAGGUGCUCAUACUGGAUUUAGUCUCUCAAGUUUAAUUUCUUU